AAACUAACAAGGAUUCCCCUAGUAGCGGCGAGCGAAGCGGGAAGAGCUCAAAUUUAUAAUCUGGCACCUUCGGUGUCCGAGUUGUAAUCUCUAGAAAUGUUUUCCGCGUUGGACCGCACACAAGUCUGUUGGAAUACAGCGGCAUAGUGGUGAGACCCCCGUAUAUGGUGCGGACGCCCAGCGCUUUGUGAUACAUUUUCGAAGAGUCGAGUUGUUUGGGAAUGCAGCUCAAAUUGGGUGGUAAAUUCCAUCUAAAGCUAAAUAUUGGCGAGAGACCGAUAGCGAACAAGUACCGUGAGGGAAAGAUGAAAAGCACUUUGGAAAGAGAGUUAACAGUACGUGAAAUUGUUGGAAGGGAAACGCUUGAAGUCAGACUUGCUUGCUGAGCAAUCGGUUUGCAGGCCAGCAUCAGUUUUCCGGGAUGGAUAAUGGUAGAGAGAAGGUAGCAGUUUCGGCUGUGUUAUAGCUCUCUGCUGGAUACAUCUUGGGGGACUGAGGAACGCAGUGUGCCUUUGGCGGGGGUUUCGACCUCUUCACACUUAGGAUGCUGGUGGAAUGGCUUUAAACGAC
rnacentral:rRNA from 1 species